UGACGACCAUCUUGUCUUUAUAGUAGGGCCUAACACACCCAAACUUAGGAUCUUCAACGCAGAAGUUUCGUAAAUAAAAUCAAGGACAGCGGAAGGAUUAUUUCGUUUUUUAUAAAGUUAAUUAACCCCACGUUUUCCCAAUGUAGAAAAAAAACCUACCGCAAAUGUACUACGAGUUUCAAUCGACUUGAGAGUCUACGUCAGUGAAUAUUCAUGGUGAUUGACCUUUGCAACGAGUUGCCUGCAGAUGUGGUAGAUGGAGAUAAUUAUCGCUGACCUUCAGGGACUGAGAUCAUAGAUGAUGUCACGAAUGGUGGAUGAAGACAACGACUUGAAACAUGCAGAAGUUGGCCAAAAGCUACGAUUGUAAUAUUCCUGCUCUGUCAAUUGCGGAGAAGCGAACCCCGGAUUAUAAUGUUGAAGUCCAUAACCUUACUGCUGGCCCACCGUGAGACACAACGUACCGUCAUUUUAGUAUUGUGAACUACGUGUUUAACAAAGUGAACUGUGCUUUACAUUGAUCCUAUAGGAGGCCACUUCCCCUGGUGGCCACUUUCAAGAUUACGAAAGAAGCUCCAAAUGUUUUUGAAACUUUUGAAACUUUUAUUGUGUCACUUUCAAGUAUUUAUAAAAUGUUUUGUGGAUGAUGAAAACAGAGACCGACCACGAUUCGAACCAGGGUACAGACAAGGUUCGCAGUUAUGCUGAAAAUGUGCAAUGUCUGGUUCGGCUACAGGAAGCAUUGCCUAGCAACGGAUGUGUUCAAUAAGUCCAUGUUAACUGACGGGAAUGUUUAAUAAGUCCUCGCGAAAUACAACUGAAAACAAAGAAAUAAAACAGACACAUAUUCAAAGAUACCUCUUCAAUCAGAGACCAAUUCCAGCUACCAGCAGAUGGCCGAAUGUGACUGUCGCUUCUGUGUGACUUCAGAAGGUGCUGUAUUAAGUUAUCUUCACAAUAACAGGAGACUCGAAGGAUUUAUAAAGCAUGUGAGUAAUUAGAAAACUGAAACAUGACUGAUCAAUUACAGAAUCACUGACAAUAACUCCAAAGCUGAGAAAAUGUUUUGAGAUCCUUUGAGGUUUCAGUCCUUUUAGAGGGCACUUAUCUUUACGUGGGUAAAAGUGGAAUAUUGGAGAAUGGGAAGUGUUGAAAUAUUUCUUCAUUACGGAAUUACGCCUGUGACUUUUAACAUCGAUUAGUAUAUGAUUAUAUUGUACAUAACAUAGAAGUUUUCUGUUAGUUCUGCCCCCUCUCUCUGGCUUCUCGAUCAAUGCAACAUCUAUUGACGGAGAGAGAGCUUUUCAAACCUAGAUUGGCGUUGUUUGCAUAGAUAUUACAAAGCGUCACGUUUUCUAGUUGCACCAAUCAGAAACUAGCUAAGGUCAACGAUUGCUCUGUUUUCUCAUGUGAACGUCAGGUCAGCAAUUCGAAGAGGUCACCUUCAUGGUCAGUAAGGCCCCACAAGCUAAUAAAAAGAUAGUUUAAACUGAUGAUAACUAAGUUCAAUAUUCCUAGGUUGCAGGCUACUUGAAACCAAAAGUGGUUUUAAAGUUGUUCUAAGAGCUUACAUUCCUAAAAAUCGGGUUUCCAUACCCACGAUGGGCACAGCACAAAGAGCUCGUUUUAUGACUUUGCGUUUAACAACAAUCAAACACAGAACCUCUUCGCAGAGUUAUGAAAUACGAUUUCAGAAACAUUAAAAUCAGUUCCAGAAUUUUAGUCAGAACUGAAUUUGACAUGAAUUUAAUUAGUUGGCUCUUAUUUCACUCUAUCACAAAAAUUGGACUUAAAGCUAUGGUACUGACCACCAUACUGACCAAAGCAUUUUUCCAGGUAUUAAACAGGAUGAUUAUUGACUAGAGUAUACGUGUUCGCAAAACAUAUGAAAACUAAUUUCGCUCGCUUAAUUUUUAAUGGGUUUGUUGAUGCAACAGAAUACGUUAAAAAUGGGGGAAAUGUUAUUGUAAAAAACAACGAAACUACUAUCAAAAACGUAACUUGUACAAAACCUUUCUAUGCAGUAUUUUUGUUUUAAGAAUUUAAGUUAAGGCAAGUAUUAUUUAUAUUGUUUAAGUUAAGGCAAGUAUUAUAUCUAUUGUUUAAGUUAAGACAAGUAUUAUUUCUAUUGUUUAAGUUAAGGCAACUAUUAUUUCUAUUGUUUAAGUUAAGGCAAGUAUUAUCUA